rnacentral:piRNA from 1 species
UGAGAGACAAGCUGUGGUGAUCCUGU